AGCAGCCGCGGUAAUUCCAGCUCCAAUAGCGUAUAUUAAAGUUGUUGCAGUUAAAAAGCUCGUAGUUGAAUUUCGGGAUCAAUAUGUUGGUCGUGCCUCGGUACGUACUAGCUUAUUGGUUUCUCCUUUCUGAAGAACCAUGAUGUCAUUUAUUUGGUGUCGUGGGGAAUCAGGACUGUUACUUUGAAAAAAAUUAGAGUGUUUAAAGCAGGCUCACGCUUGAAUACAUUAGCAUGGGAUAAUGAAAUAGGACGUUUGAUUCUAUUUUGUUGGUUUCUAGGAUCGACGUAAUGAUUAAUAGGGAUAGUUGGGGGCAUUAGUAUUCAAUUGUCAGAGGUGAAAUUCUUGGAUUUAUUGAAGACUAACUACUGCGAAAGCAUUUGCCAAGGAUGUUUUCAUUAAUCAAGAACGAAAGUUAGGGGAUCGAAGACGAUCAGAUACCGUCGUAGUCUUAACCAUAAACUAUGCCGACUAGGGAUCGGAUGAUGUUAAUUUUUUU
rnacentral:misc_RNA from 1 species